UACAUAGGGGGCAAGCGUUGUCCGGAUUUAUUGGGCGUAAAGAGCGUGUAGGCGGCCAGGUAGGUCUGCUGUGAAAACUCGAGGCUUAACCUCGAGCUGUCGGCGGAAACCAUCUGGCUAGAGUCCGGAAGAGGAGAAUGGAAUUCCCGGUGUAGCGGUGAAAUGCGCAGAUAUCGAGAGGAACACCAGUGGCGAAGGCGAGUCUCUGGACAUUUCCUGACGCUGAGGCACGAAAGCCAGGGGAGCAAACGGG
rnacentral:rRNA from 1 species